GAUCCUGGCUCAGAAUGAACGUUGGCGGCGUGGAUUAGGCAUGCAAGUCGAGCGAGAAUUUGCGAUUGGAAGCUUCGGCCGAAGAAAGUGAAGGAAAGCAGCAAACGGCGUAGUAAGGCGUAGGUACGUACCCUCGGGUCGGGAAUAGCCAUGGGAAACUGUGGGUAAUGCCCGAUAAUCUCUGCGGAGCAAAGGUGUGAUUCCGCCGGAGGAGCGGCUUACGUGAUAUUAGCUAGUUGGUGGGGUAAUGGCCUACCAAGGCAACGAUGUCUAGGGGGUGUGAGAGCAUGGCCCCCACGACCGGAACUGAGACACUGUCCGGACACCUACGGGUGGCUGCAGUCGAGAAUCUUCCGCAAUGGGCGAAAGCCUGACGGAGCGACGCCGCGUGGUGGAUGAAGGCCCUUGGGUUGUAAACACCUGUCAGAGGGGAUGAAAUCAUGGUUGGCAAUCCUUCCAUGUUGACAGAGCCUCAGAGGAAGCACGGGCUAAGUACGUG
rnacentral:rRNA from 1 species